GAAGGCGGCCAGAGCGGUGGGGCGACACCCGUACCCAUUCCGAACACGGAAGUUAAGCCCACCAGCGUACCGGGAAGUACUGGAGUGAGCGAUCCUCUGGGAACCGCGGUUCGCCGCCUACC
rnacentral:rRNA from 1 species